UACGUAGGGACCAAGCGUUGUUCGGAUUUACUGGGCGUAAAGGGCGCGUAGGCGGCAAUUCAAGUCAGCUGUGAAAUCUCCGGGCUUAACUCGGAACGGUCAGCUGAUACUGCUUUGCUAGAGUGCAGAAGGGGCAAUCGGAAUUCUUGGUGUAGCGGUGAAAUGCGUAGAUAUCAAGAGGAACACCUGAGGUGAAGACGGGUUGCUGGGUUGACACUGACGCUGAGGCGCGAAAGCUAGGGUAGCAAACGGG
rnacentral:rRNA from 1 species